UACGGAGGGGGCGAGCGUUAUUCGGAAUUAUUGGGCGUAAAGGGCGCGUAGGCGGCUAGAUGUGUCAAAGGUGAGAUCCCUCGGCUCAACUGAGGAACUGCCUUUGAAACUGUCUGGCUUGAGGCCGGGAGAGGGUAGCGGAAUUCCCAGUGUAGCGGUGAAAUGCGUAGAUAUUGGGAGGAACACCAGUGGCGAAGGCGGCUACCUGGACCGGUUCUGACGCUGAGGCGCGAAAGCGUGGGUAGCAAACAGG
rnacentral:rRNA from 1 species